CCUGACAAAUUUAAAUUCUGGAUAAAACUUUAUGACUACAGUUCCUUCGCUCUUCUAUACGAAAAUAACCGAAGUGAUUGUAGAAGUUUCGGGCGAUCCCAAUCAGUCUUCCUCGAGUAUAGGAAGCAGUUGCAUGCUCUUUAAAACUCGUGUGUUUAAAAUGUCGAUUAAAAAGUCGAAUUUAUCGGUGGGAUUUGUCCAAGGAAAUACCGAACGAACUACUGAAGAAAGAAGAUUUUUCCAAAAAAUAUAUAUACAAAAAAUCAAGUCGAUCGCUGGUCACGUAGGAUUGUUGAUUGCCUUGAUGCUUUACACAGCAAUUGGUGGUUUGGUCUUUCGGCAUAUCGAACUUCCAGCAGAGUUAACGCGUUUGGAAAUUUUGCGCGCCAAUUUACGCGCUGAAAGAUAUUCAUUUAUUAAUGCCGUUUCCAACAAUACCGAUGUGUCAAAUCUGCGCACAUUAGUCAGCGUGAAAUUACGUGCUUACGAGGAGGCAGUUCAGGAAGCAGCGCAGGGUGGUUUUUUGAUUUCUUUCGUGACAGACACUGUAGACCAAGAAAAUCGAGAUGCGGCAGAUUUACCGCCAAUCGUAACUGAAAGAUGGAGUGUCCUUCAGGCCGUAUUUUUUGCAAGCACUGUUCUUACUACAAUUGGAUAUGGGAACGUUGUGCCAUCUACUAACGGGGGAAGGAUGUUCUGCAUCUUAUUCGCAUUCGUUGGUAUACCCUUGACGCUAAUAGUAAUAGCUGAUUGGGGGAAACUAUUCGCCGGAGGUGUAGUUAAAAUCGGUUUAACUCUAAAAUCGAAACUUCCGUUUUCCUUUUCUUUCUCCUGCAUUCCGACAAAUCUAGCCGGAAGACGAUCACUUGGAGCAUUUGCAGCAAUCAUUUUACUUUUUCUGUAUCUUGCCUGCGGUGCAGGCAUGUUCAUGUUAUGGGAAGAUGAUUGGAAUUUUUUCGAUGGAUUUUAUUUUUGUUUUGUUACGAUGACUACCAUAGGAUUCGGUGAUUUAGUACCGAAAAAGCCAAAGUACACGUUAUUAUGUACUCUUUAUAUCUUGGUUGGUUUGGCAUUAACAAGUACCAUUAUUGAACUUGUGAGACGUCAGUAUGCUCAAUCGUGGCGAAGAUUGCAGAGACUUAGUGGACCACUGGCAGAAACUAUUCGUCGACUAGGUGAACAAGCUGGUGGAGAUAUGUCCGCGCUACAUUCAGAUCUCAGAAAAGUUUUGACAGUAAUAUCAAUGCCACGCUUAAAGUGGUCAACUUCUUUCAAUCGGGAAGAUUCGAAAGAUCAAGAAUGGGAGGAAGCCGUAGAAGCUGUGCUUCGUGACAUUGCUGCGAACGCUAAUAAUACCCAGUCGAAGAAAAAACAAAUAGUACAAAUUGUUUUUUACGAGUCGAGUGUCUGAUCAAAAGCAAGAUUCAUAUUUUCAUUGUCUAAUGUUUUUGAAAUAUGUUCAUGCGACGUUCGAUACACACGCUUUUUUAUUUAAACUUAAAAACUUUUCCCGCGUAAAUGCGCGCGUCGAUGAAUAGAACCGCGAGCGCGCAGAAACUGCUAACCCUGAGUUCGAUCAGUAGUCCAUUAGGUUGGACUAACCAGAUCGACGAAAACAAUAAUUCGUAGACGAGCAAUCACUAAAUUUAGAAACUAUAGUACCGCGCGAAGCAGGACAAGGAACGUUGGUCUGCGUUCGUUGUCGGCUUUUAUAGUGACUUCUACCUUCGUUAAAUCGGUGAUAAUUCUGGCCCAGAUCAUGCAAAAUAGAAUCGACCGACCGUCGGCUAUUGUGUGUAUUGCAUAUCGUGUGCGUAUUAAAUUCUCGUAAUAAAUCCUCUACAUGAAGGUGGAAUCGCAAUGGUGCUCUUACUUGGCAGUUCUCUAUUAGAAAAAUUUUAGUCAUGUGUUUGAUGUCGAGGAAUGAAAUAUACAUUAAGCAAAUAUCUCUAGAAGCAAUCUUCUCAUUAAAAUAACGAUUCAUUGUAAUUAUACAACAAUUAAGUAUAAUGACCGGCAUUAAAGAUCCGACUGAACAACCAAAGCUGGAAGAAACAAAACCAAAAAAUGAACAAACGAAUGGUAUCAUUAA